UACAGAGGUCCUGAGCGUUGUUCGGAUUCACUGGGCGUAAAGGGUGCGCAGGUGGGUUGGCAAGUUCGAUGUGAAAGCCCCGGGCUUAACCCGGGAAUGGCAUUGGAAACUGCUGAUCUGGAGGAUCGGAGGGGGGACUGGAAUUCUUGGUGUAGCAGUGAAAUGCGUAGAUAUCAAGAGGAACACCAGUGGCGAAGGCGAGUCCCUGGACGAUACCUGACACUGAGGCACGAAAGCCAAGGGAGCAAACAGG
rnacentral:rRNA from 1 species